GACGAACGCUGGCGGCGUGCUUAACACAUGCCAGUCGAACGGUGAAGCGCCUUCCUUUUUGGUGGGUGUGGAUGAGUGGCGAACGGGUGAGUAACACGUGAGUAACCUGCCCCCUUCUUCUGGAUAACCGCAUGAAAGUGUGGCUAAUACGGGAUAUUCUGGGUCUGUCGCAUGAUGGGUCUGGGAAGGUUAUUGUUUGGGGGGGGGAGGGGCUCGCGGCCUAUCAGCUUGUGGGUGGGGUGAUGGCCUACCAAGGCGGUGACGGGUAGCCGGCCUGAGAGGGUGGACGGUCACACUGGGACUGAGACACGGCCCAGACUCCUACGGGAGGCAGCAGUGGGGAAUAUUGCACAAUGGGCGCAAGCCUGAUGCAGCGACGCCGCGUGAGGGAUGGAGGCCUUCGGGUUGUGAACCUCUUUCGCCAGUGAAGCAGGCCUGCCUCGUUUGUGGGUGGGUUGACGGUAGCUGGAUAAGAAGCGCCGGCUAACUACGUG
rnacentral:rRNA from 1 species